rnacentral:lncRNA from 1 species
UGAUGUAGGGUGAAGGAUUCAAUAACUAAAACAAGAAGAGAUGGUAGAAAGGGAGAGAGGAAGAAGAACAGAGACAGGGAGCAGAGAGGCAAACGGCUGAAGCCAACGUUAUAAUUUAAUCAAAAUUCAUCAACUGAGAAAUUACAAACCAAUGAUAGGUUUAAAUAAUGAAAACCUAGAAAUAUAGGGCCAAGCCCAUUAUUUAAGUCCUAAUUAAAAUACGUAAACUUAAAUAAAAGUCCAACUGAAACAAUAAUAAAAG